GUACAGGUGCUGCAUGGCUGUCGUCAGCUCGUGUCGUGAGAUGUUCGGUUAAGUCCGCUAACGAGCGCAACCCUCGCUGUGUGUUACAAGUGUCACACAGGACCGCCGGUCUUAAGCCGGAGGAAGGUGGGGAUGACGUCAAGUCAGCAUGGCCUUUAUGUCCAGGGCUACACACACGCUACAAUGGUCAGCACAAUAGGUAGCCAAGCCGCGAGGUGGAGCCAAUCCUCAAAGCUGGCCUCAGUUCAGAUCGCAGGCUGCAACCCGCCUGCGUGAAGCCGGAGUUGCUAGUAACCGCAGGUCAGCUAUACUGCGGUGAAUACGUUCCCGGGGCUU
rnacentral:rRNA from 1 species